ACAAAAACAUUGCCAUUUUUAUUGUUUUGAAAAAAGAUGAAAACAAAAAAUAGAAAGACAGGGAUCACAAAGUUUGAUUUCAAAAAAUGUCCUUCAUUAAUGAUAAUCAUUAAAACAUGAUGAGGCCCUACAAUGAAUCACUACGCCUUGGGCAGAUCGUAGGAUUUUCAUGCAAAAAUGACAAAACAACAGAAAAUUACUCUGUCAGAAGAGUAACUUGAAC
rnacentral:lncRNA from 1 species